AUCAAUUGCCUAAGUUGGAACUGCCGGGGAGGGGGGAACACCCGGACAGUUCAUGAGCUAGCGAUGUUGUGUAAGUCGCGUUCCCCCAUGGUGGUGUUUUUGUGUGAAACAAGACAAAAGGAGGAGAAGAUGAAAAGGAUCCGUGCAAAGCUUGGUCUGAAGGGUUUUUGUGGAGUGGAUAGCAAUGGCCUGAGUGGUGGUUUGGCACUAUAUUGGAGAGAAGAAUGUGUGGUGAAUGUACUCGACAAGGGUGACAGGUUCAUUGAUAUUGUUAUCAGGGUGCAUGAAGGAGCGCCGGAGUGGAGAGCCACCUUUGUUUAUGGAGAACCGCGUGUGGAAAAUAGACACUUAAUGUGGUCGAAGUUAAGGGACAUGAAAACAGCUAAUAAUAUGCCUUGGUUAGUAAUUGGUGAUUUUAACGAAGCUAUGUGGGAUUUUGAGCACCUUUCGGUCACAUCAAGGGCGGAAGCAUAG
rnacentral:rRNA from 1 species